CGGGGCCGGCCUGGCUGCGGAGGUGGGAGAGGGGGUGUGUCCCGGGCGCCCGCGGACCCCACCCCGCGUCCCAGGGACUCUGGUCGCUUUUCAGACACGGAGAUGUUUCAAGUUACAAAAAAUAACAGGCCUGGUGAUGGACGGUGAACACACAAUACAGUGUACAAGUCUCACCCCGAGAGGAAGAGAGAGAAAGUCAACGAUGAGAAUCACUGACCCGCUGCCUCGGGCGCGUCCCCAGGAGGGGGCGGGGCCUGCCGCGGGGCAGGUGUCCUGGCGGGACCUCCCGGCUCCUAGGUUGGUGCUCGAACUCCCCUGGGGGGCUCAUCACUUCUUCAGCUGGAAGUCCGUCCCCCCAGUCUCCGUUGGUCCUUCAAGGUUCACCUCACAUUCCGCCCCGCAUAACUUUCCUGAUCUCUGUUCCCUCCACGCAACUGUGAGUAACAUCACAACGUAUAGCCCCCUCCCUCCUCCUUUCCCCUUAGCCAUGGUGUCCUGGAAGGAGCCGAGGCUUGGAACCUUGUUGGGGACAAAGCCGGUGUACACUGACUUUCUAGCUUGAAUGACCUUGAGCAAGUUACCCGUCCUCCCUGAGUUUACUUGCAAGUAUGGGAAGGGUUGUUAAUACAUAUGAGUUGACAUAUGUGACUGCCACUGGUGUAUUAGAACGUCCUCAGUUAAUGUCAGUUUUCUUUCUCUUUGUAUUUUCUUUAGGUAUCUGCAUGAUAUUUUAAUCAUUUGUGCACUUUUUAGUUCACCUCAUGCUCCCAACUCCUUGAUACCAGAGACUGUCUUUCUCAUCUUGGCAUUACUAAAAUGACUUGCACAGUCCUUUGCACCCAAACUCUUGUUAAAUUAAA